rnacentral:rRNA from 1 species
CCUACGGGAGGCAGCAGUGAGGAAUAUUGGUCAAUGGGCGCGAGCCUGACCCAGCCAAGUAGCGUGAAGGAUGACUGCCCUACGGGUUGUAAACUUCUUUUAUAAAGGAAUAAAGUGAGGCACGGGUGCCUUUUUGUCUGUACUUUAUGAAUAAGGAUCGGCUAACUCCGUGCCAGCAGCCGCGGUAAUACGGAGGAGCCGAGAGUUAUCCGGAUUUAUUGGGUGUAAAGGGAGCGUAGAUGGGUGGUUAAGUCAGUUGUGAAAGUUUGCGGCUCAACCGUAAAAUUGCAAUUGAUACUGGCAGUCUUGAGUACAGUUGAGGUCGGCGGAAUUCGUGGUGUAGCGGUGAAAUGCUUAGAUAUCACGAAGAACUCCGAUUGCGAAGGCAGCUUACUAAACUGCCACUGACAUUGAUGCUCGAAAGUGUGGGUAUCAAACAGGAUUAGAUACCCCUGUAGUC